AAUAUUGGACAAUGGGGGCAACCCUGAUCCAGCCAUGCGGCGUGUGUGAAGAAGGUCUUCGGAUUGUAAGGCACUUUAAGUUGGGAGGAAGGGCUUUAGGUUAAUACCCUGCAGUUUUGACGUUACCAACAGAAUAAGCACCGGCCAACUCUGCUCCAGCCGCCGCGGUAAUACAGAGGGUGCAAGCGUUAACCGGAAUUACUGGGCGUAAAGCGCGCGUACGUGGUUCAGUAAGAUGGGUGUGAAAUCCCCGGGCUUAACCGAGGAACUGCUUUCAUAACUGCUGAGCUAGAGUACGGUAGAGGGUAGUGGAAUUUCCUGUGUAGCGGUGAAAUGCGUAGAUAUAGGAAGGAACACCAGUGGCGAAGGCGACUACCUGGACUGAUACUGACACUGAGGUGCGAAAGCGUGGGGCGCAAA
rnacentral:rRNA from 1 species